UUUUUUUUUUUUUUAAUUUUCACACUUUUACAGUGCAUAACAAUUGGUAUCAAAGUUUUGGGAUAAUCUUGGUAAGUUUAAUUGAAGGUGAAACUAUUGUGACAUGUAGAAAGUUGCAUAUGCAACAAUGAUUAUCGUGAAGAGUUGAAAUUAAAAUGGAAUUCUUGAUGGAAAGUCAAGAAAGUUGAUGACAUGAAAAUUUCAAAGUAAAGAAGCAAGAUACACCCAAGAUGAAGAUUGAAAAAUAGAGAUUUGAAGGGUUUAAGCUUAAGUAUGGAAAUUUAAUAAUUUAAUAACAUCUAAGAAUUUGAGGUAUAUAAUAGUUAAUAAAUUUUGUGUCAAGGUGGAAAUUGUUAGAUUUAUGGCUCAAAAUCUUAGUUGAUUUGGAAGACCCUUUCUUAAUUUGAGAGGGAAAAAUAUUCCUCAAUAGGAUGGA
rnacentral:misc_RNA from 1 species